rnacentral:rRNA from 1 species
CCUGGUCUUGAAUGUCGAGACUUUCAGAGAUGGACGGUGUGCCUUCGGGAACUCGAACACAGGUGCUGCAUGGGUGUCGUCAGCUCGUGUCGUGAGAUGUUGGGUUAAGUCCCGCAACGAGCGCAACCCUUGUCCUUAGUUGCCAGCACGUAAUGGUGGGAACUCUAAGGAGACCGCCGGUGACAAACCGGAGGAAGGUGGGGAUGACGUCAAGUCAUCAUGGCCCUUACGGCCAGGGCUACACACGUACUACAAUGGUAGGGACAGAGGGCUGCAAGCCGGCGACGGUAAGCCAAUCCCAGAAACCCUAUCUCAGUCCGGAUUGGAGUCUGCAACUCGACUCCAUGAAAUCGGAAUCGCUAGUAAUCGCAAAUCAGCAUUGCUGCGGUGAAUACGUUCCCGGGUCCUGUACACACCGA